GGAGGUGCGACUGAGGAGGCAAAGUCGAAGAGGAACUAAGGAGAGGAGUCGUGAAGUCUUGAGGAAGAGGAGUCAGCGAGUCGCGUUGUUGAUGUUGUGAAGGCAGAGGAGUCGAUGUCGUGAAGGCUGAGGACUUAGAGGAGACUAAUAAGAGGACUCGAUGUCGAGUUUAGGGCUUUAAACUUCAUCACGAUGGCUGUUGGGGUAAGUAGAAGACCCAUGGGUCAUGGGUAAAAAAAAAGUUGGCCAAAGCUACCUAGGAGUGUGCGCCUUGAUAGCUCGGUGCCUCACAGCGUCGCCUAGGCGACGACAUGAGACACCGAGCUACCAAGGCACACGCCUUGGUAGCCCUACCUCAAGUCGAAGCACGACAUGACCUUCUCUUCAUCGCCAGGACGCCUAGGCGUCGCCUAGGGACGCCUUGGCGAUGCAAGGCGUUGUAGUAACAACUAUGUUCUAAAUGUAUCAUCUUUUCUUGACGAUAUGAGAAACGUAGUCCAAUAUGUUAAAUGGGGAUGGAACUUCAAUACACUAUUCAUAUCCUGAUCAUGUAACUAAGUAUAUAUGAUUAUUUACAUGUCUUAUUUGUUUGCAUAUAUGCCUUCCAUGCAGUUUAUUAGUAUUGGUGAAUUUCCUUAACAGCUUCAUCCAAACUCCAACAGAAAAAAGGAGCCACUGAACUGCCCUUCUUUUCUCUAUAUGCAUAUGCAUUUGAUUGUGCAGGUGUAUAUUUCACAACUUGUCUACGUGUGUUUUUCGUUGUGAUUUUGGUGAUGCUUUUAUUUCUUUGCUUUCAGUUUUCUAUUUGUUACUGCUUAUUUCAUUGGUUGAUGUCCAUGGCUUAAUGCAUCUGUCUACUUUAAUAUGUGAUCUAUCGUCAUUUGGAGCAAAAUUGUUUACAGACCUGCACCUUAGCUCACUUGUGAAUCUGUGUAAAUUAAUUAUGAAAAUACAUCUUGUCUAUAUACAAAAACUCAUGCUAGCAGUACAUGUUCUUUACCUGUUUCCUCAAAAUGAUCUCCUAUGAGAUUUAAAUUACUAAGGCCUCUAAAAGUUUUCUACACUAGCAGAACUGUAACAGAACGCAGAACACAAUUAUGAAAUUGCACAUAGAUUCUUCUGUCGGUCGCCGCCAAAUCCCAGCGGAUCCCCAAAUCCAGAUUUUUCUGGAUUCUUAUAGGGGAUUCUUUUGUAUUUUUUAUUGACAAAAGUUUAAAAAAUUAUAAAUACUAUAUAUAUACUAUAGUAAUUAAUACAAUAUUUUAAAUACUAGCAUUAUCUACGAAAUUAGUAAAAGAACUGAUUAGUAUGUAUUUCAUAAAUUCCUAGAUAGCAGUAGUAUAUACAAUGUUGUAUUUCAUGAGUUUUUUUUAAACAUUUUAUCAGGAAUUAAUAUUUAUUAAAAUUUUAAUGUAAUUUCAUGUACGUAUUAAAGUCUGUUUAAUACGUAAAUAUGUGCCACAAGUUCCCAUUUUUUGAGAUUUGCUUAACUGUCAAAUCCCCAUAUGGCAAAUUUGAAUCCUCAAACCCUACCCAAAUCCUUGCUUUUUAGGCAUAUAGAGCUUUUAAAUAUUUAACUAAUCAAUAAAACCAGUGAUUAUGAUGAAUAAAAGAACUCGUACAUCCAACGGGCAUGGUCUUCAAACUGAUGGUCUGAUACUGAUAUUUGUCGAAACAUAAACCUUACAUUAUCUAGGACCACUCCAUUAACCUUCUAAAUUAGUAUAAUAGAGUUCAAAUGAUGUUCUCUAUUUUAUAUCUGCAGGCAACAUCUGAGGCUGCUGCCGAGAAACAGAUCCAGCAACUCUUAUUCCCACGCUCACGCAGGAAAAAAGUCGGUUCUCAUGCUGAUGGACUUGGGGAUCUCCAUCCACUUUAAAUAUCCUGAUCCGGCUACUAUACCUUUCGUAACAGUUUUAAAAAUAAGUUUUGAUCUUAGAAUUCAAUCUAGAGGUCUCAUUUAUUUUUUUCAGUCAGUUCAUUUUUGAAUUGAACUUUUUUUUGUAAUGUAUUGCUACCUUUUUCAGAUUGAAUAUGUUGGUGUAACAGAAUAAAAAGGGUUCUCUUGUACAAUAUACUAAAUUAAUAUGAAUCCUGAUACCCUGAUUAAUAAAGCAGCUUCUUCAUAUUCUAUAGAAAUGAUUCCUUUCUUAGAAUCCCCAUAGGGUUCUACAAGCUUAAUCUCAUUUUACCAUCUUUUAUAUUUUAACCUGUAGGGCUCGAGUUUUGGCUUGCCGAGGUCGCUCAACUGAAAGUCAAACAAACUCGAGUCGAAGUCGAAUUUAAUCAAGUCGAGAUAAAUUAAAUUUAAAUAUUUAUUCAAUUAAUUAUUUUUAUGUUUUUAUAUAAGGUUAUAUGUAUAUACACAGUUGUGUAUUACACAGUCGGGCUAUG
rnacentral:lncRNA from 1 species